UACCGGAGUACUAUGAAUGUUAAAAAUUUAAAACUCAAAGAACUUGGCGGUGUUUUAGACUACUCAGGGGAACCUGUCUCAUAAUCGAUAAUCCACGUUGUACCUGACCUUUUUUUGUUGUUCAGUUUGUAUACCGUUGUCGUCAGGUAACUUUUUAGAAAUUAGAAGUUAGCGGUAGAAAAUGUAAAAUAAUUUAGUACGUCAAAUCAAGGUGCAGCUAAUAAAAAGGGGAGGAUGGGUUACAAUUAUAUAUUUGUAAUACGGAAAAGUACAUGUAAGUGUAUCAAUUUUAAAGGUGGACUUGAAAGUAAAUUUAAGAUAUAUAAAUAGUUUGAAUAAGGCUCUGAAACGUGU
rnacentral:rRNA from 1 species